rnacentral:tRNA from 1 species
GAUAAAAAAGUCUUUUAUGAUGUGGAGCCUAUACCUCCAAGGUGGCAGUGUGUCUUUUAUCA